rnacentral:rRNA from 1 species
GAUACCCUAUUAUACUGAUAAGGACAAGAAAAGCUCGGAUUAUUAAUAGUUAUAUUCUUGAAAUUUAAAGAAUUUGGCGGUGAUUUAGUCUUGUUAGAGGAACCUGUUUUUGAAUCGAUAUUCCACGUAAAAUCUUACUCACUUUAUUAGAGUUUAUAUACCGUCAUUAUCAGAUAAUUUUUAAAAAAUUAAUUAUUAAAUUUUAAAAGAGAUUAAGUAAAAUUAGAUCCAGGUGUAGCUUAUAAGUGAGUUAAAAUGGGUUACAAUAAAAUUUAUUUAAUACGGAGUAAUUAUAGGAAGAGAUAUUGAUGAAGGAGGAUUUAAUUGUAAUACAAGUUUAAUAAGCUUAAAAAAAUAUAAGCUCUAAAUCAUGUAAAU